UACAGAGGGUGCGAGCGUUGUCCGGAAUCACUGGGCGUAAAGCGCGCGUAGGCGGGUUGGUAAGUCCGCUGUGAAAGCCCGGAGCUCAACUCCGGAGGGUCGGUGGAUACUGCCAGUCUUGAAGGUGCUAGGGGGAGAUGGAAUUACCGGUGUAGCGGUGAAAUGCGUAGAUAUCGGUAGGAACACCAGUGGCGAAGGCGGUCUCCUGGGGCAUUCUUGACGCUGAGGCGCGAAAGCUGGGGGGAGCGAACGGG
rnacentral:rRNA from 1 species